rnacentral:lncRNA from 1 species
GUAAACAGGGAUAUGAGACGCAAGGAACUUAAAAUGUUGGAUAUUGCAAAGAGGGCUUCUGCAAUGAGAGUCGGGUGCCACAUUUCCCAUUCCUCCCUUGGACGAGAACCGUUGUACUUGACAUAGGCAACAAUUUUAAGGGAGAUAGUUGCAAGAUAGAGGGAGUUCAUUGCAAAAUCCAUUAGAUUCCACCAGUCAUGUACGUAUUCAU